UACGAAGGGGGCUAGCGUUGCUCGGAAUCACUGGGCGUAAAGGGUGCGUAGGCGGGUCUUUAAGUCGGGGGUGAAAUCCUGGAGCUCAACUCCAGAACUGCCUUUGAUACUGAGGAUCUUGAGUUCGGGAGAGGUGAGUGGAACUGCGUGUGUAGAGGUGAAAUUCGUAGAUAUUCGCAAGAACACCAGUGGCGAAGGCGGCUCACUGGCCCGAUACUGACGCUGAGGCACGAAAGCGUGGGGAGCAAACAGG
rnacentral:rRNA from 1 species